rnacentral:rRNA from 1 species
AUCAACUUUCGAUGGUAGGAUAGAGGCCUACCAUGGUGGUAACGGGUAACGGGGUGUUAGGGCACGACACCGGAGAGGGAGCCUGAGAAACGGCUACCACAUCCAAGGAUGGCAGCAGGCGCGCAAAUUACCCAAUCCCGACACGGGGAGGUAGUGACAAUAAAUAACAAUACGGGGUUCUUUAGGAUCUCGUAAUUGGAAUGAGUACAAUUUAAAUCUCUUAACGAGGAACAAUUGGAGGGCAAGUCUGGUGCCAGCAGCCGCGGUAAUUCCAGCUCCAAUAGCGUAUAUUAAAGUUGUUGCAGUUAAAAAGCUCGUAGUUGAAUUUCGGGGUCAGUAGGUUGGUCGUGCCACCGGCACGUACUGGUCUCACUGAUUCCUCCUUCCUGAUGAGCUGUAAUGCCAUUAAUUUGGUGUUGCAGGGAAUCUGGACUGUUACUUUGAAAAAAUUAGAGUGUUUAAAGCAGGCUAACGCUUGAAUACAUUAGCAUGGAAUAAUGAAAUAGGACGUUCGAUCCUAUUUUGUUGGUUUCUAGGAUUGACGUAAUGAUUAAUAGGGAUAGUUGGGGGCAUUAGUAUUCAAUUGUCAGAGGUGAAAUUCUUGGAUUUAUUGAAGACUAACUACUGCGAAAGCAUUUGCCAAGGAUGUUUUCAUUAAUCAAGAACGAAAGUUAGGGGAUCGAAGACGAUCAGAUACCGUCGUAGUCUUAACCAUAAACUAUGCCGACUAGGGAUCGGAUGAGUUAAUUUUUUAAUGACUCAUUCGGCGCCUUACGGGAAACCAAAGUGUUUGGGUUC